CACUUCACUGAGCCAACUGCUCCAGUCAAACUGCGCAUUUGGCGUAGCCAAAAAGUGGGUUGGUCUGCAAACGUUGACUCUGUAGUAGGCAGCUGAGGACAGUGCUGAGCCGUACCACCAUGUCCAAAGAGACUCCUCGUGAACCUGAGCAGCUCCGCAAGCUGUUCAUAGGAGGGCUGAGUUUUGAGACGACAGACGAGAGCCUUCGUGCACAUUUCGAGCAAUGGGGGACCCUCACGGAUUGCGUGGUCAUGAGGGACUCCGAGACAAAAAGGUCAAGAGGAUUUGGGUUCGUGACCUACAGCAAUGCAAAAGAAGUUGAUGACGCCAUGGCUGCCCGUCCACACAAAGUGGAUGGAAGAGCAGUUGAGCCCAAGAGGGCUGUUUCCAGAGAGGACUCAUGCAAACCAGGAGCACACACAGCAGUCAAAAAAAUAUUUGUCGGAGGUAUCAAGGAAGACACAGAGGAGCACCAUCUACAGGAUUACUUCAUACAGUUUGGAGAGAUUGAAGCCAUCAACAUCAUGACUGAGAAGAACAGUGACAAGAGGAGAGGGUUUGCCUUUGUCACGUUUGAGGACCACGACUCUGUCGACAGGAUUGUCAUCCAGAAGUACCAUACAGUGAAUGGCCACAACUGCGAGGUUAGGAAAGCCCUGUCACGAGAGGAGAUGAACAGGAUUGGAAUGAGCCCAAGAGGUGGCCGUGGAGGAGGAGGAGGAGGAGGAGGUAGUGGUGGUGGAAACUUUGGAAGAGGUGGUGGUGGAGGAGGAUAUGGAGGUGGGGGGUAUGGAGGUGGAAGAGGGGGCUAUGGAGAUGGUUACAAUGGCUAUGGAGGAAAUGGUGGUGGCUAUGGCGGUGGAGGUCCUGGGGGCUAUGGAGGCGGUAACCGAGGUUAUGGAGGAGGCAGCGGAGGAAGUGGUGGCUAUGGCAACCAGGGUGGAGGCUAUGGUGGUGGUGGCGGCUAUAAUGAUGGCUACAAUGGAGGCGGCGGCGGCGGCAGUGGAGGCAAUGGCAACUUCGGCGGUGGUGGUGGAAACUUUGGAGGUGGUGGCAAUUAUAACGACUUUGGUAACUACAACCAGUCAUCUUCCAACUAUGGCCCAAUGAAAGGUGGUAACUACGGAGGAGGCGGGGGCAGAAACAGUGGCCCAUAUGGUGGUGGGUAUGGUGGAGGAUCUGGCGGUGGCUAUGGAGGAGGCUCCGGAGGCCGACGAUACUAAACCGUGAGUGCUUGGUUCAUCCAUGACCCUCUGAAACGUUCACAGUAACUCUACGGCUACAGUGCUUAGGAGAGGAGAGCCAGAGAGGUGACAGGGAAAGGAGGAAAGCAAUGAAAGGAGCAAGGAAGCAGGUUUACAACCCUAGAUCUGCUCAGCCAAGCGGUGUGGUGGAUGCUAACGCGUCCGCUGCACGAAGAGAUGUGUACAAUAGGGGAGGAAAAUCAUGUGGGUUGGGCGAGGGAGGGGGAGGGGGAGAGGGAGGAUCGCAUAUGGAAGGAAACACCAGUUUAUAUCUUGUUUUUGUCUCUUAACCUCUUAUUUGUAAAAGAAAAAAAAAGCUGUCCUGCUAGUUAUUAGCUUUCUAGUGUUUUGCUUUUUUUUUUAUUUGUCUUGUGAAGUGUAAGGCAUUCCAAUAGGUCAUUGGUAGGGUUUAAUUUUGUUUAGAGAACUUAUUUUGCAUCCCCAAGGGUGUGUUUUAAAUGUAACCCGCCGCGAAUCAAGAUUAAAUAAACGGCUUCAGUUUU